UACGUAGGGUGCGAGCGUUGUCCGGAAUUAUUGGGCGUAAAGAGCUCGUAGGUGGUUUGUCGCGUCGUCUGUGAAAUUCCGGGGCUUAACCUCGGGCGUGCAGGCGAUACGGGCAAUACUUGAGUGCUGUAGGGGAGACUGGAAUUCCUGGUGUAGCGGUGAAAUGCGCAGAUAUCAGGAGGAACACCGAUGGCGAAGGCAGGUCUCUGGGCAGUAACUGACGCUGAGGAGCGAAAGCAUGGGUAGCGAACAGGAUUAGAUA
rnacentral:rRNA from 1 species